AACGGCCAUACCAUGCUGAAUAUACCGGUUCUCGUUAGAUCACCGAAGUCAAGCAUCAUUGGGCGCGGUCAGUACUUGGGUGGGUGACCACCUGGGAACACC
rnacentral:rRNA from 1 species